GACGAACGCUGGCGGCGUGCCUAAUACAUGCAAGUUGAGCGCUGAAGGUUGGUACUUGUACCAACUGGAUGAGCAGCGAACGGGUGAGUAACGCGUGGGGAAUCUGCCUUUGAGCGGGGGACAACAUUUAGAAACGAAUGCUAAUACCGCAUAAAAACUUUAAACACAAGUUUUAAGUUUGAAAGAUGCAAUUGCAUCACUCAAAGAUGAUCCCGCGUUGUAUUAGCUAGUUGGUGAGGUAAAGGCUCACCAAGGCGAUGAUACAUAGCCGACCUGAGAGGGUGAUCGGCCACAUUGGGACUGAGACACGGCCCAAACUCCUACGGGAGGCAGCAGUAGGGAAGCUUCGGCAAUGGACGAAAGUCUGACCGAGCAACGCCGCGUGAGUGAAGAAGGUUUUCGGAUCGUAAAACUCUGUUGGUAGAGAAGAACGUUGGUGAGAGUGGAAAGCUCAUCAAGUGACGGUAACUACCCAGAAAGGGACGGCUAACUACGUG
rnacentral:rRNA from 1 species